GUUUGAUCAUGGCUCAGAAUCAACGCUGGCGGCGUGCCUCAGACAUGCAAGUCGAACGAUUAAAGCUCUCUUCGGAGAGUGUAUAGAGUGGCGCACGGGUGAGUAAUGUAUAGCUAACCUGCCCUUUAGUGGGGGACAACAGUUGGAAACGACUGCUAAUACCCCAUACUCCUUCUUACUCUAAGGUAAGUCGGGAAAGAUUUAUUGCUAAAGGAUGGGGCUUUAUGGUAUCAGCUAGUUGGUGAGGUAAUGGCUCACCAAGGCGAUGACGCCUACCUGGUCUGAGAGGAUGAUCAGGCACACUGGAACUGAGACACGGUCCAGACUCCUACGGGAGGCAGCAGUGGGGAAUAUUGCACAAUGGAGGAAACUCUGAUGCAGCAACGCCGCGUGGAGGAUGACGCAUUUCGGUGUGUAAACUCCUUUUAUAAGGGAAGAUAAUGACGGUACCUUAUGAAUAAGCACCGGCUAACUCCGUG
rnacentral:rRNA from 1 species